GAACGCACAUUGCGCCCCUCGGUAUUCCGUGGGGCAUGCCUGUUCGAGCGUCAUUUACACCCUCAAGCUCUGCUUGGUGUUGGGCGUCUGUCCCGCUUCAUGCGUGGACUCGCCCCAAAGUCAUUGGCAGCGGUCGUGCCAGCUUCUCGCGCAGCACAUUUGCGUUUCUUGAAGUUUGGUGGAUCAGCAUCCAGUAAGCUCUUUUAUGACUUGACCUCGGAUCAGGUAGGGAUACCCGCUGAACUUA
rnacentral:misc_RNA from 1 species